UACAGAGGGUGCGAGCGUUGUCCGGAAUCACUGGGCGUAAAGGGCGCGUAGGUGGUGGCUUAAGCGUGCGGUGAAAGCUCGGGGCUCAACCCCGAGUCGGCCGUGCGAACUGGGCUCACUGGAGCAUAGUAGAGGCAGGUGGAAUUCCGGGUGUAGCGGUGGAAUGCGUAGAGAUCCGGAAGAACACCGGUGGCGAAGGCGGUUAGCUGGGCAGUUGCUGACACUGAGGCGCGACAGCGUGGGGAGCAAACAGG
rnacentral:rRNA from 1 species